rnacentral:rRNA from 1 species
UAAACGACUCUCGGCAACGGAUAUCUCGGCUCAUGCAUCGAUGAAGAACGUAGCAAAAUGCGAUACUUGGUGUGAAUUGCAGAAUCCCGUGAACCAUCGAGUUUUUGAACGCAAGUUGCGCCCGAAGCCUUCUGGUUGAGGGCACGUCUGCCUGGGCGUCACGU